GAUGAACGCUGGCGGCGUGCCUAAUACAUGCCAGUCGAGCGAACGGACGAGAAGCUUGCUUCUCUGAGGUUAGCGGCGGACGGGUGAGUAACACGUGGAUAACCUACCUAUAAGACUGGGAUAACUUCGGGAAACCGGAGCUAAUACCGGAUAAUAUUUUGAACCGCAUGGUUCAAAAGUGAAAGACGGUCUUGGUGUCACUUAUAGAUGGACCCGCGCUGCAUUAGCUAGUUGGUAAGGUAACGGCUUACCAAGGCAACGAUGCAUAGCCGACCUGAGAGGGUGAUCGGCCACACUGGAACUGAGACAAGGUCCAGACUCCUACGGGAGGCAGCAGUAGGGAAUCUUCCGCAACGGGCGAAAGCCGGACGGAGCAGCGCCGCGGCAGUGAUGAAGGUCUUCGGAGCGUAAAGAUCUGUUAUUAGGGAAGAACAUAUGUGUAAUUAACUGUGCACAUCUUGACGGUAGCUAAUCAGAAAGCCACGGCUAACUACGUG
rnacentral:rRNA from 1 species